ACGGGGGGGGCAAGCGUUGUUCGGAAUUACUGGGCGUAAAGGGCGCGUAGGCGGCCUGCUAAGUCAGACGUGAAAUCCCCCGGCUCAACCGGGGAACUGCGUCUGAUACUGACAGGCUCGAAUCCGGGAGAGGGAUGUGGAAUUCCAGGUGUAGCGGUGAAAUGCGUAGAGAUGUGGAGGAACACCAGUGGCGAAGGCGACUUUCUGGACUGUAACUGACGCUGAUGCACGAAAGCGUGGGGAGCAAACA
rnacentral:rRNA from 1 species